rnacentral:rRNA from 1 species
AAAGAGAGAGCGGCGUACGGGUGCGGAACACGUGUGCAACCUGCCUUUAUCUGGGGGAUAGCCUUUCGAAAGGAAGAUUAAUACUCCAUAAUAUAUUGAACGGCAUCGUUUAAUAUUGAAAGCUCCGGCGGAUAGAGAUGGGCACGCGCAAGAUUAGCUAGUUGGUGAGGUAACGGCUCACCAAGGCGAUGAUCUUUAGGGGGCCUGAGAGGGUGAUCCUCCACACUGGUACUGAGACACGGACCAGACUCCUACGGGAGGCAGCAGUGAGGAAUAUUGGUCAAUGGGUGCAAGCCUGAACCAGCCAUCCCGCGUGAAGGACGACUGCCCUAUGGGUUGUAAACUUCUUUUGUAUAGGGAUAAACCUACCCUCGUGAGGGUAGCUGAAGGUACUAUACGAAUAAGCACCGGCUAACUCCGUGCCAGCAGCCGCGGUAAUACGGAGGGUGCAAGCGUUAUCCGGAUUUAUUGGGUUUAAAGGGUCCGUAGCGGACUUAUAAGUCAGUGGUGAAAGCCUGUCGCUUAACGAUAGAACUGCCAUUGAUACUGUAAGUCUUGAGUAUAUUUGAGGUAGCUGGAAUAAG